CCUUCGGGCAGUGAUGGUGAAAAGGUGGUGUAAGAGACCACCGGCGCGCGCAGUAAUGUGCGUGGCCAGGUAACCCCCGCCGGGAGCAAGGCCAAGCAGGGACGAUUUCGUCUGUGGACGAUGGGAGGCUGCUCGCCUCCAUACGUGCCCUCCCUCUUGUGGGUUGGGCCAGUCCCGGGUAGGCUGCAUCGAGCAGAGCGGCGACGCUCCGCCCAGAGAGAUGAUUGCCCAAGUGGAGCGAUCCACUGGACAGAAUGCGGCUUAUAGACCAGCCUGAGGU
rnacentral:RNase_P_RNA from 1 species